GACGAACGCUGGCGGCGUGCCUAAUACAUGCAAGUAGAACGCACAGUUUAUACCGUAGCUUGCUACACCAUAGACUGUGAGUUGCGAACGGGUGAGUAACGCGUAGGUAACCUGCCUGGUAGCGGGGGAUAACUAUUGGAAACGAUAGCUAAUACCGCAUAAUAUUAAUUAUUGCAUGAUAAUUAAUUGAAAGGUGCAAUUGCACCACUACCAGAUGGACCUGCGUUGUAUUAGCUAGUAGGUGAGGUAACGGCUCACCUAGGCGACGAUACAUAGCCGACCUGAGAGGGUGAUCGGCCACACUGGGACUGGGACACGGCCCAGACUCCUACGGGAGGCAGCAGUAGGGAAUCUUCGGCCAUGGACGAAAGUCUGACCGAGCAACGCCGCGUGAGUGAAGAAGGUUUUCGGAUCGUAAAGCUCUGUUGUAAGAGAAGAACGGGUGUGAGAGUGGAAAGUUCACACUGUGACGGUAUCUUACCAGAAAGGGGCGGCUAACUACGUG
rnacentral:rRNA from 1 species